UGCAGAAGGAUAAAAUCCAGGGCAGAGCCCCCCAUCCCAGGUGAGGGGAUUACCCCGAGCAGGAGGUCAAGGCCGAGAGCAGCAGUCAAGGCCGAGUGGGCAAGGUGGUUCACUUGCCAUCUAUUCUGGUCGAGCAUGCCCAUUCCAGGUGCUGUCGCUGCCCUAGGCACGCCAAGGAACAGAGGAGGGCAGGU